AUGGUCAAGGGUAGACAGGGAGAACGCAUUAGGCUUUAUAUCGAGGGAGUAAACACAAAGGAAGAGGUUGCAUGGUAUGCUGGGAAACGGUUGGCAUACAUUUACAAGGCCAAGUGGGAUAGUCCGUGCAAAGUUCACUUCAAUUUGCCACCAAAAUCAAUGGGAGCUAGGGUUAGAGUAUUCAUGUAUCCAAGCAAUAUAUAA